AUUGAACGCUGGCGGCAUGCCUUACACAUGCAAGUCGAACGGUAACAGGUCUUCGGAUGCUGACGAGUGGCGAACGGGUGAGUAAUACAUCGGAACGUGCCCGAUCGUGGGGGAUAACUACUCGAAAGAGUGGCUAAUACCGCAUACGAUCUACGGAUGAAAGCAGGGGACCCGCAAGGGCCUUGCGCGGACGGAGCGGCCGAUGGCAGAUUAGGUAGUUGGUGGGAUAAAAGCUUACCAAGCCGACGAUCUGUAGCUGGUCUGAGAGGACGACCAGCCACACUGGGACUGAGACACGGCCCAGACUCCUACGGGAGGCAGCAGUGGGGAAUUUUGGACAAUGGGGGAAACCCUGAUCCAGCAAUGCCGCGUGCAGGAUGAAGGCCUC
rnacentral:rRNA from 1 species